rnacentral:rRNA from 1 species
AACGAACGCUGGCGGCAUGCCUAACACAUGCAAGUCGAACGAGACCUCCGUGUCUAGUUGCGCACGGGGGCGUACCGCGUGGGAAGCUGCACUUAGGUACCGAAUACUUCCCUUUCGGGGGUGCUAAUACAGGAUAAUUUCCUCGGACAAAGGAUUUGUCGCCUUUGGGUGGGCCCGCGUUGGUUUAGCUUGUUGGUAGGGUAAAAGCCUAUCAAGGCGUGGCUCCAUAGCUGGUAUGAGAGGCAGAACCGCCACGCUUGGACUCAGACACGGCCCAGACUCCUAGGCGAGGGAGCAGUGGGGAAUACUGGACAAUGGGGUAAGGGCUGAUGCAGCUAUGCCUGGGAAGUGAUGAAGGCGUGAGGGAUGUGCAGCUCGUUUACACGGGAUGAUAAUGACGGUACCGGGAGAAUAAGCACCGGCUAACUUCGUG